GACCUGGUGGUGGAAUGGUUACCACGCCUGCUGAAAGUCAUAUGUUCAGAUCGUUUAAGCAAGAGAUCCCCGUUCAAUUCGGGGUCAGGUCA